rnacentral:rRNA from 1 species
CGUCGAGCGGAAACGAUCCUACCUUGCUAGGAGGCGUCGAGCGGCGGACGGGUGAGUAACACGUGAGAAUCUGCCCAUUAGAGGGGGAUAACCUGGGGAAACCCAGGCUAAUACCGCAUAAUCCCUACGGGGGAAAGCAGGGGAUCUUCGGACCUUGUGCUGAUGGAUGAGCUCGCGUCGGAUUAGCUUGUUGGUGAGGUAAUGGCUCACCAAGGCGACGAUCCGUAGCUGGUCUUAGAGGAUGAUCAGCCACACCGGGACUGAGACACGGCCCGGACUCCUACGGGAGGCAGCAGUGGGGAAUCUUGGACAAUGGGGGCAACCCUGAUCCAGCCAUGCCGCGUGUGUGAAGAAGGCCUUCGGGUUGUAAAGCACUUUCAGUAGGGAGGAAGGCUUAUCCUUAAUACGGAUGAGUACUUGACGUUACCUACAGAAGAAGCACCGGCUAAUUUCGUGCCAGCAGCCGCGGUAAUACGAAAGGUGCGAGCGUUAAUCGGAAUUACUAGGCGUAAAGCGCGCGUAGGCGGUUUGCUAAGUCAGAUGUGAAAGCCCCGGGCUCAACCUGGGAACUGCAUUUGAAACUGGCAGGCUAGAAUGCAGUAGAGGAGGUGGAAU